GACGAACGCUGGCGGCGUGCUUAACACAUGCAAGUCGAACGAUGAACUUGGAGCUUGCUCUGGGGGAUUAGUGGCGAACGGGUGAGUAACACGUGAGUAACCUGCCCUGGACUCUGGGAUAACUUCGAGAAAUCGGAGCUAAUACCGGAUAGGACCUGGCACCGCACGGUGUGGGGUGGAAAGUUUUUCGGUUUGGGAUGGACUCGCGGCCUAUCAGCUUGUUGGUGAGGUAAUGGCUCACCAAGGCGUCGACGGGUAGCCGGCCUGAGAGGGUGACCGGCCACACUGGGACUGAGACACGGCCCAGACUCCUACGGGAGGCAGCAGUGGGGAAUAUUGCACAAUGGGCGCAAGCCUGAUGCAGCAACGCCGCGUGCGGGAUGACGGCCUUCGGGUUGUAAACCGCUUUUAGUAGGGAAGAAGCCUUCGGGUGACGGUACCUGCAGAAAAAGGACCGGCUAACUACGUGCCAGCAGCCGCAGUAACAC
rnacentral:rRNA from 1 species